GAUGAACGCUGGCGGCGUGCCUAAUACAUGCAAGUCGAGCGAACAGACGAUGAGCUUUCUCCUCUGACGUUAGCGGCUGACGGGUGAGUAACACGUGGAUAACCUACCUAUAAGACUGGGAUAACUUCGGGAAACCGGUGCUAAUACCGGAGAAUAUAUUGAACCGCAUGGUUCAAUAGUUAAAGACGGUUUUCCUGUCACUUAUAGAUGGAUCCGCGUCGCAUUAGCUAGGUGGUAAGGUAACGGCUUACCAAGGCGACGAUGCGUAGCUGACCUGAGAGGAUGAGCAGCCACACUGGGACGGAGACACGGUCCAGACCCCGACGGGAGGCAGCAGUGGGGAAUAUUGGAGAAUGGGCGCAAGCCUGAACCAGCCAUACCGCGUGGGAGAAGAAGGCCUUCGGGUUGUAAAGCCCUUUUGUUGGGAAAGAAAAGCAGCAGGGUAAGACCCCGCUGUUCUGACGGUACCCAAAGAAUAAGCACCGGCUAACUUCGUG
rnacentral:rRNA from 1 species